rnacentral:rRNA from 1 species
ACAAGACGAGAAGACCCUAUGGAGCUUUAGACGCCCACCAAUCAUGAAAAGCAAGUCUCAGUUAACAGACCUCCAAACAACAUGAUACUGGUAUAAACGUCUUCGGUUGGGGCGACCGCGG